CGACGCGACGGGUGCGUAACGCGUAUGUAACCUACCUUUGACAGGGGGAUAACAUCGAGAAAUUGGUACUAAUACCCCAUAACAUCACCGGAGGCAUCUUCGGUGGUUGAAAACUCAGGUGGUCAGAGAUGGACAUGCGUUGUAUUAGCUAGUUGGUGAGGUAACGGCUCACCAAGGCGACGAUACAUAGGGGGACUGAGAGGUCAACCCCCCACAUUGGUACUGAGACACGGACCAAACUCCUACGGAAGGCAGCAG
rnacentral:rRNA from 1 species